UGGGCUGAGAGAAACAAAGAAGAGAAAGAGAUAGAAGCUUAUUUGGGAGGAACAAUCUUCCUUUCUUUCAUUUGUUUUCUUUCCGCAAUUGUGACUCCAGUACGUGACACAAUUAUCAAAGUUGUCAUGGGCAUAACAUAAAGCACCAACACUCAAAAUCAGAAACCAUACAUAACUUUUCAUCGUUACACUCCGAAUCCUCUCCAAUUUUUUAUCUUCUUCUUCUACGAUCACGAGAACACAGCUCCAGGAUCCACUUCAUUUUCACUCUUCAUAGACCCAACCAUCAAUGUUCGUCUUCUCGGCACCGUCUAACCCUUGCCGCCCUUGCCUUGGCCCGUUCGCUUCUCCUCUCGGCGCCCCUUCAUAGAGUCGCCGCGCACCCCCUCCGUUUCCGGAGUCGAUGAGGACAAUUCGCCUCCGAUCUCAGGUAAGCCCGAUCCUCUCCUGACCUUGCUCUGUAUCCCCUGUUUUAAUCCCUUUAUCUUUAUAGUUUGGUCUCUGUCAGAUUCACUGCUUAGAAUUUUGUUUGAUAAUAGUUCGAAUUUGGUGUGUUCCGGAACUUGUGUUUUGGGUAGAUGUGAUUUUAGUCUGUACCUGUUUUUAUGAAUUCUGUGAGUUUUAUGUGGAAUCGAAGGAAGCCUUUCUAGAAUGUUGGUGACAAGACCUGUUUCCAAUGGGAGGAAGGACGUUUUUGGUUGUUGGAGUGAGGUUCUGGAAAAUCAUUGAUUGAUUGUGUAACUGGUUUCAUUGAUGAAGUUUAUUUCUGCUCAUUAUGGAUUGUAGUGGUCGGAUUAAUAUAAUAUAAUUUUGGGUUUUGCUCUAUUCUUUUUAUUCGUUGGUAGCAUGUUUGUGAUUGUUUGAUUGUGAAUUUUCUGGGCUUGUUUCCAGUUCAUGUUCUUGCGUUUUCUGAGUUCAUUUUGUGGUGGUGUGACGAUCCUCGAUUGCAUCUGCUGUUUCGAUUCUUUUGAUGUUAAUUGCAUUUGAUUGGGGUACUCUUUUGAUGCUACAUAGGUGCAGUGGUUUUGUUUUGAUAUAUACACGACCGUGGGAUUCGUGCUUCUUAUCAUAAUCUUAGUCGUUUUUUGUUUUUAUGAUGCUAAUAAGGGUUGUACAUGUAUAUGUGUGCCUAUGACUGAAACGAUUGAAAUGAUAGUGAUGUUGUGAAAUAUAUAAAUGAUAUUAAAUUCUAUAUAUGUGAUAAAUGUUGUAAUUUGUGUAAGUUAUAUGAUAUAAAUUGAUUAUAUAUUUAAUUUGAAUAUUAAGAAAGUCACUCAAGAAAUAUGGGAAAGAAAUUGUUGAUAGUUUUUUAUUUUGAUCCAAAUUAUAGUAACACAUUCCAUACUAAGAUUUUGGUCCAUUAACAGAUUAUAAAAUUUAAUAAAGAUCAUUUGUUAAGUUUGUUUAAUUAUCAUUUAUAAGAUGCAUGAGACGAUAAAUAGAUAUCAAUAACUCAUAUUUUCUCCAUGAACAUUAAAUGAUGAUGAAUAUCUUAUUUUUUUCUUUUAUAAUUUUUUUUAUUACAUGUAUUACUAUAAGAUUUUGUCAUUGGAAAAUUUCACCAACUUGACUACCAAUAUUUUGUUACAAAAAUCUUUCUAUGACAACAAAAGCAAAAUCAAUAAAGUUCAUUAUACAUGGUCUAUGAUCAUCUAACAAAUUUUUUUAUAACCAUCUAAGAUAAAGUUUUCAUUUAAAUUUAUGAAUAAAAUAAUAAUUUAAUAUGAUAUUAAAAAUAUGAUACCUAUUAUUUUAUAUGGUGGUGAAUACGAUAUAAAUAAUAUCAUUAGAAUUAAAUUUGGAGAUUCUAGAACUCUCAGAUUCUCUUGUGACAAAAUAAAUUUCAGUUACUGAUUUGGUUGUUAUAUAAAUAAAUUUUAUUAUAGUUGCUAUUUUGAUAAAUUUUUUUAUUGUAACAAAGAUUAUAUUAUUUAUAUCAUAUUCAUAAAAUAAAAGGUAUCAUCUUUCCAAGAUCAAAUCAAAAUACUAUUAUAUUUAUAAAUUUAAAUGAAAACUUUACUUCAGUAUUUUUUUAAUAGUUCACUGGAUUUAUAAUUAGAUGGUUGAGAAAAGAAAUUGUUAGAUGGCCAUAAUCCAUGUAUAGUAAAUUUUAUGGAUUUUGCUUUUGUUGUCAUUGAGAUAUUUUCAUGACAGAAUCUUGAUGUCUAGUUUGUGCAAUCUUCUAAUUUACCAAAUUCUCUAGUAGUAUAAUAUAAAAAAAAAAAAAAAACACUAUGUAAGCAAAAAUAAAGAUAUUCAUUAUAAUUGAAUGUUCAUACGAAAUUAAUGAGUUAUUGAUCUUUAUUUAUAGUCUUGCAUGACCUAAUUAAAUAAACUUAAUAAAUAGAAGUCAUUAAAUUUGGUAAUGUGUUACAAAAUUUCAUCCUAGAAUGUGUUAUUAUAAUUUUAUCGAAAUAAAAGAACAAUUAUAUCAACAUAAUUUCUUUUCACAUUUCAUUGAUUUUUUUAAUAUUUAAAUUGAAUGAUAUAUAUAUAUAUAUAUAUAUAUAUAUAUAUAUAUAUAUUAUCAUUUUCAUUUUAAAGUUAAAUAAUUUAAACUUAUGAUUUAAUUUUUAAAAUUCUAAGACAUAAUGUUAAUAAAGACCCUAAUCAACUGUAAGCCUAAUUCAUGCAUAAUGUAAGACAUAUGCCUUGUUCUUUGUCAAAAACGAAACAAUAUUAUUGAAAAUUUUUAGUAAAUUCAUGAAAGUAUGCUAAAUUUAUAUCCUUGAAAACUAGUUCUACUAGUAAUAUAAUAAAUGAAAUUACCAAAUAUCUUAGACUUAAUUUAGAAUACAGUUAGCGUUAUUAAAUUUAUACCAUUGAAAAAUACAAUUAAAUUAUUACUGUAUUUAAUCAAAUAUAUAAAUUUUUGAACAUUAAUAUUAAGAAACUAUCUCAAGUUCAAAAAUAAUUCCAGUUAGACUCUCAAGUGAAUUGUACCAUCACACAACACCUAAAAACACUAAUUGAAAAAGUUGAAAUGCACAUUAGAAAAAUAAAUUAAAUAUUGGUUUAGACUAAUUAAAAGAAUUAUAGUAAAAUUUGUCACACCCCAUUUAAUACCCCUCCUUAGUGGGGUACACAUGUCAAACCGUCCGAUCUUCCCUGAUAAGUGGGAGACCAACUCUGCUAGUAAUUAAUUCCCUUUCCCCGUGAUCCGUGUAAUAGUAGAAGGAAUGUGAACUUCCAGGAAGUGGAAGUCAGGUGGCAAGCUGGGAAUGGGCUGGACGUUCUUAGUGGAGGCAGUAUUUAAGGUGAGAUUGAAACCUGACGCCACUUUUCUCAUGCAAACUUUCUUCUUCCUCAAACUCCAACUUCCUGAAAACUCAAAAUCUCCUUCUUCUCUCUAAACUUCCCAACUUUCUCUCUAGAUUUCUGACCUUCAUUUCUUCUCCGAUCACUUGCAUCCAUUCAGGGUUCUUACUACCGGCACCAAGCCCUUCAACUUGCACCAAUCCAAACCUCAUUCUGAACUGGUAAGUGUUCCGGACCCUUGAAGUUACUUGGUCUUCUUGCAUGCAUGCACCAGUAAAGCUUGCAUGUAACUGUUAAACCAUUUCUCUGAACCUACUUUUGUAUUUAAUUCUAGAGCUUUAGAAACCUUAGAAGAGAUAGUUGCUGCCAACCAACAUUAAACGUACUAGCUGGAAUUAGAGGUAAGGGAAGCUUAUAAAGUUUAAUUAUGAUUUCUUUGUAUGGUUGGUUGCUGGAUCUAAUGUAUGUUUGAUGAUUUUAAUGGCAUGAUAAAAAUGUGAUAUGUUAUUGUAUGAAUUGUAUGAUAUGUCUGAGUUUAAAUUCUGUAUUUAGUAUGAACGGAUGAAACUUAGAGAAAAUAUGAAUUUGUGAUCGAAGGUCAUUAGGAUCAUUCGGUACUCCCCUUUUUACCAUCCGGUCCAUUCGGACGGUUCGGCAUAGUGAGUUUACUAAAUUCAGUUUGGUUCAUUUAAUAUUAUUAUUGAUAAUUACUUAAGAACGUUGGUCAUAAACCAAGUGUUCGGUCUUACAAGUGUUCGGCCUUAGGCUAACACUUAGUUUAUGAAGCAUUUGAAUUUAAUAUUCUUCCUAGCCUUCGACCAUGUUAAGAGCGGUCUUAUACCAAUACUUAAAUCCUUAAAAACGUUCGGUUUAUAACAUUCCUUGCCAGACCGUCCGGAUGACUAUCACUUAUAGCCCAUCCUUUGGUGUCCGGUCUUAUUCCUUGUCGGACCAUCCGAUCACUAUUAAUCAUAAUUCAAUCUGUGGUAUUUAGUCCUGUUUAUUGCCGGACCAUCCGGUCAACUAUUCAUAAAUCCUUCUAUGGCAUUUGGUUCUAUUUUGUGUCAGACCAUCCGGUCCAAUCUUCUUGUUUACUCAAAUCUCUCAUUCUAUCAUUGACCGUCCGGUCAUUUUCUUAACGUCCUUCUUUUGUGAACGUGAUAAUGAACAUUGAUUGAAUUUGGCUAAGUAAGGGAAUUCCAAUGGAGGAAUGUCUCAUGAAUUGGUGAUGGUUGGUAAAGUAUGAACAUGGUCAGACUCUGGUUGUCGUCCUGAUCCUGAUAUUCCGUGAUGACGCUUUCUCAUGUAGAGAAAGGUUACUCAUGUGUGGGAAUGACAGGAGGUCCGCGGUCAUAAGAUCAGAUGAUCAUUGUAGGACCAACCUCGGGUGGCAGUUGAUAGUUCAGGCAACUACUACACCACACCGGGUGCUAGGGACGUCGAGCUACGUGGUUCAUACCGUCCGGACAGUGUCUUAGUGGUCGGUCAUGAUUAAAGGAACGUAGUAUGCAUGUGUAGUAAUUGUGUGUAUGAAAUGUUGAUUGGUUUCGGUUUGUAUGUUUACUUGUAUGAUUGAAAUGAUUAAUUAAAUUUACAUAAGCUUACCCUUAUCUGUCCUGUCUUUGUGUAUGUUGUCGUUCGGUAUUUGACCGUCCGGUUAUUCCCUUCAAUGCAAUGAUCAUCCUUUUGGGUGUGAGCAGAGGGUAUCUUGGAGGACACCUUAGAGGAUACCUUGGAAGAUGUUGUGCAUGUCGAGCAAGCAGUGGAAGCCAUGCCGGAGAGCUGUGUCGGACCGUCUGGUCCUUAGAAUAGUUUUCUUUCAUCUUUUAGUAUAGAUAACCGUCCGGUUAUGUUUUGUAAAACCGUUCGGUCGAACUUCUAAAAUCUAUAUUCAGCCUUCACUAUUGUACAGUUUUAAAAUUUCAGUGUUAUUUCUACUUCCUUCAUCCACCUAUACUUAUUCACCACUGUUCUCACUUAUUAUUCAUGUUAACUCCUAAAAUGGAUUGUAACUUCUGUUAUAUAUUUAUUGGGAUGUUACAAAAUUAACAAAAUCAAAAACUAAAAUUUAUUCCAGAAUUAAGAAUUCUGUAAUAAAUUUGAUUAAAUGGAAUUAUUAAUGUUAAUAUUCAAUAAUUAGUAUAUUUGAUUAAAUACAAUUAUAAUUAUAAUUUUAUUUUUCAUGAAUUUAAUAAUGCACCAUGUUUUAUAAUUU
rnacentral:lncRNA from 1 species